rnacentral:snoRNA from 1 species
UAAAAUGUGAUGAAAAUUUAGACGGGCGGUCUGAUAUAAAGUGCUGAUUCGUCUUUUUUCUGAUUUU